rnacentral:lncRNA from 1 species
UGAGAAAGCUCAAAGCCGAGUCCUCCACCCAGGCCCUCCUUUGCAAGGUCGGCGAGGACACUGCUCUGUACAUGUGCUCCUCUCCCACCCCUCCACUGAUUUAAUGUGAAAUCUAAUUGGGAGGUAUUGAUAAGCACCAAUGUAUCCUUGGUUUAAUUAGUUCCCAUGUCUUGAGUUACUUUGAUCCUCUUGGUAAGAUCAAACCGAUGAAUACCUUUCAGGUCUCUCCGAUACGAAGUAAGCGAUACAAAUGCAAGGAUUGCACAUAAGUAAUUGGAUUUGACCCCAGUUAAUUUAUUGCCUGUUUAACAAUGCAGAAAGAAGAGUUGCUACACCGGAACCUAGGCCAUGCAGUGAUUCAUAUUUUGGUUGCGCGGCUGUUUCUAUGCUGUUCAUCCGAGGUAAAUUUUAAAAUGAUGCAUUGCUUCACCCUGCUAUAUCCCGACGCUCUCAUAGUUUAAUCUAUCCGUGUAUACACAUCUUUCUUGGUGAUUGUAUUUUUCAUGUUGCCUGUCGAUGGAUCUCGCAACCUAACACGCAGAGCUAGAUAAAUUGUAGUUAUUGUUGUAUAACGAUUGGUUUUGGUAAAAUUUCAUGCGUUAUAUGUUUUUGUGGGUUUUGAUAAAACCACUUCUGAUCUUCAGAGAUAUAUGUUUGGUACUUGCUCUACACAUAUAUGCCUGGCGCUCCAGCUCGUGCAUUCAUUUGAUCUGACAUGACGUACAUGUACAGAGCAACUUUGUAUAGUGUUGUUAGCUGGUGGUCUAUAUAAUUUAAGGUAAUGUAUGUGACUUAAGAUGAUGCAUUCAUGAAUUAAGCAUGGAUCUUAGAUUGCGCUGGGACUGCUUCCGAGGAUGCAGGUUUCCGAUCGUAAUAUAGACCUUUCAAAACAUUAUGUGUCAUGCCUGCACAGUACUUGAAACAUAAUUACACUGCAUAUAUUUAGCAAAUUUGCAUACUACUAUUGUUUAAGUAAAAAAAUGUGAACUUCAAAUUAUAUAGUGGCUUCAGAUUAUUUUCUCAAAAACCAAGAGAUCUUUUGGGGUUUGCAGUAGUCUGGUUUACAAGAGAUAGCCACAUGUCUUUAUAAAUUUAAAUUGUGAGCAAAACAUAGUGGAACAGAACUGAAGCUAUUUCCUUCAGUAUCGUCUAUGUCUACUUGACGUUUCCAUAGAAGCUAAUGUAACUAUCCCGCAACCUGAAAAUACCGUAUGAUGUCCAGAGAAGAUUUCUGCUUACAUGUGAAUGGUUCUACUGCUGUUCUAAGUGAUUUCUUGAAGUUCUUCCUAUUUUCCCAUAUCAUCUGCAAGCUGACCAAAUUAAUCCUUAUUUGUUUGCCAGGUUUGUCAAACAUCGCUUCAUGUUGUAGUGCAUUUUUUCCUUUCAAAAUCCAUUUUAUGCCAUUUGGAUUUAUAACUGUCAGUUUAUUAUUUGUGGAGAACAGGAGAUAAGGAAAAGGGGAGGGGAAAAACAGUAAUUCUAGCAACUGGCGUUUGUUCCGUACCAAAGCUCGGGAGUUCAUUCUAUUGUGUGCAUCAGAAGUCUAUACAUAUGAGUUGGCACUCGGAGAGUGACAUAGAUUUUCUUGAGGUUAUGAUUUUUUUAUCUACUAUUACUUGAAUCUUUCUUACCUGAGUUUUUUUUCUUGGAGUUCUUCCUGUUUCCCAUAUCACCUGCUCUAUAUAAGCUGCUCCAUAAAAUUAAGUACGCGCAUCCUCCUUUAUUGGCCAAGUUUGUUCUAUUAUACUAAUCUGAAGUCUGUACAAAGGACUUGGGACGGAGUGAAGCAGAUUUGCUUGAAGUUUUGAAUUAUUUACCAAAGUAGGGUUUGCAUAUUAUACUAUCCUAGAUUACAUGGCUAAGCAACUCAAUUAUACUGGUAAUACUUUGAAAUGGUUGUCUGUUCUGCCGGAGUACUCAUAUGCCAUAUUAAUUUCUGAGGAACAAUUUAU